CUCCUUACGAACCCGCACUCAAGGCCCAAUACUUCUAAGCCCAAAUUCGGGGUGUUACAUAUACGACACUUAUUAGUUAUGGCUGAGUGAAUGUAUUUCGGCAUAGGAAUUCUUCCUAAAUUCCAAUUCCCCGAAUUGCUCCUUGAUUUUUGGCCACAUUCAAUGUUUGAAUUCCAUUCAAACUCUUAACAGAUCAAGCCCACCUUUUGUACCGCCUCAGCAUGCUGCCAAGAGUCCUGAUCAAAAACCUCAACUCCUUCCCCACGCAUGCAGCAAAAAUCCCAACCUUGCGUGCACGAGAUGAAGCUCGAACCCUAGAC
rnacentral:lncRNA from 1 species